rnacentral:rRNA from 1 species
GUCGAGCGAAGCGGUUUAAGUGAAGUUUUCGGAUGGAUCUUGGAUUGACUGAGCUGCGGACGGGUGAGUAACGCGUGGAUAACCUGCCUCACACAGGGGGAUAACAGUUAGAAAUGACUGCUAAUACCGCAUAAGCGCACGGCAUCGCAUGAUGCAGUGUGAAAAACUCCGGUGGUGUGAGAUGGAUCCGCGUCUGAUUAGGUAGUUGGUGGGGUAACGGCCCACCAAGCCGACGAUCAGUAGCCGACCUGAGAGGGUGACCGGCCACAUUGGGACUGAGACACGGCCCAAACUCCUACGGGAGGCAGCAGUGGGGAAUAUUGCACAAUGGGCGAAAGCCUGAUGCAGCGACGCCGCGUGAGUGAAGAAGUAUUUCGGUAUGUAAAGCUCUAUCAGCAGGAAAGAAAAUGACGGUACCUGACUAAGAAGCCCCGGCUAACUACGUGCCAGCAGCCGCGGUAAUACGUAGGGGGCAAGCGUUAUCCGGAUUUACUGGGUGUAAAGGGAGCGUAGACGGAUUAGCAAGUCUGAUGUGAAAGGCAGGGGCUCAACCCCUGGACUGCAUUGGAAACUGCCAGUCUUGAGUGCCGGAGAGGUAAGCGGAAUUCCUAGUGUAGCGGUGAAAUGCGUAGAUAUUAGGAGGAACACCAGUGGCGAAGGCGGCUUACUGGACGGCAACUGACGUUGAGGCUCGAAAGCGUGGGGAGCAAACAGGAUUAGAUACCCUGGUAGUCCACGCCG